rnacentral:lncRNA from 1 species
AGCAGCAACCCACUCGGGUUCCCUUCCAUGCUGUGGAAGGUUUGUUCUUUCACUCUUCACAAUAAAUAUUGCUGCUGCUCACUCUUUGGGUCUGCACUACCUUUAUGAACUGUAACACUCACUGCAAAGUUCUGCGGCUUCACUCCUGGAGUCAAGCGAGACCACGAACCCACUGGAAGGAAGAAACUCUGGACACAUCUGAACAUCUGAAGGAACAAACUCUGGACACACCAUCUUUAAGAACUGUAACGGCCGGGCACGGUGGCUCACGCCUGUAAUCCCAGCACUUUGGGAGGCCAAGGCAGGCAGAUCAUGAGGUCAGGAGAUCAAGACCAUCCUGGUUAACACGGUGAAACCCCGUCUCUACUACAAAAAGAAAAUACAAAAAAUUAGCCGGGCAUGAUGGUGGGUGCCUGUAGUCCCAGCUACUCGGGAGGCUGAGGCAGGAGAAUGGCGUGAACCCGGGAGUUGGAGCUUGCAGUGAGCUGAGACUGCGCCGCUGCACUCUGGCCUAGGCAAAAGAGCGAGACUCUGUCUCAAACAAACAAACAAACAAACAAAAGAACUGUAACACUCACUGCGAGGGUCCGCGGCUUCAUUCUUGAAGUCAGUGAGACCAAGAACCCACUGGAAGGAACCAAUUCCAGACAUAUUUUGGUGACCCAGAUGGGACUGUCGCCUAUCACCAAGUGUUAAGGUGGCAGGAGUGGAAUCUUGGAUUCACCAUAUCUGAGUUAAAUUUUGGACACCCCUUGAUGAACCUGUGGGACUGUCAGCUCAGGAGUCCCAAGAUCAGCCAGACCAGCCUCGAUAUACCUGUGAACCAUUGGAGGACUUGCAUCUUCCUAUUUCAAAAGGAAACAUCCCAGACUAAAAAGGCUCCUACCACCAAUCCUGAAGAAAAACCCCUUCCUUCUUAAAAAAGAUAAGUGAAAACCUACAUAAUCUUUAACACCUCUCCUUGCCCCUUUAAUGGAAUCCUUUUACUAUUUCAUCAUAUUGUUAAGCAGCAUACUAACCAUACUCUUUGUGAUAAGACUAUAUACUGUAGCUCCUGCUGGGAUGAAAAUCCUAAUCACAUCAACCUUCUUUCUCUCUUCCUCCCUUCUGACAGCAAUUUACUCCUACCUUUAACUUGGACUGGAUAAGAUGAUCUCAUCUUCCAGAGCACCCUCUUUAUCUUCCUAUUUGCUCUUUGCCUAUCUAUCCCUCCUGCUUCCUUGGAUACCUCAUACAAUCACCCCUCCCCUUCCACUAGCUCCUAACUACCUCUACAAUAAUCUCAACUUAACCCACUCUCUGUUAAACCAGUCCAGUCCUUCCCUGGCAAAUGACUGUUGGCUUUGUAUCUCUCUAUCAACUUCUGCUUACGUUGCCACUCCCAUUCCCGCAAAAAACUGGGUCUUUACCAACUUAACUUACCACCCUCAUUGUGAAGGAAAAGACGCUUUCUGAUUUCUAAAUAUGCAAUCAUUAGCCCACUUCCCCAUCUCUGAUAGGACGAAGAAUACCCUAACAGGAUGUGCAAUCCAACUUUUACGUUCUUACAUUUCCCACCUCACCUAUUACACAAGCAAUGAAAAGCCCAUACAUGACCCUGUAACUACAAAUACCAUCUUAACUUUCCAAGCCCCUUUAUGCAUCCAAUGCAACCUGUUAUAAGGCCUGCCCCUGGGGUACCUACUAACCCAUUAGUGUAAUUACACCAUACAACUUCAAGCCCCAGCUGAUCAUAGUAACUUCUGAGUCACCCAAACAGCUCCAUUCAGAUGGCUUGUCUGCUUCUCAGGGCACCCAGAAAUCAUCGCCUCCUCCCUGCUUAACAAACAGUCCAGGUUUUGUAAUGGCAAACAUACUCCCUGCAUGACCAUUCACCCCUGGACUCCCUCCAGCAGCGCCCCCACCACUAGUGAAUGCCUUCUCAUCCCCUAUUUCAAUCACUCUCUGGAAUGGUUCCUGGUAGAUACAAAACGAUUUUUUUCUCCAAUGGGAAAACAGAACACAGGGAGCCACUCAGUUUGCUCCCAACACCCCUUUCCAGCUGCUCACUGGAGCUACCUUGGCAAGUACUCUAGGAGUAUGGGAAAAUGAAAACAACAAACUCACACACCUUUUUAACAUACACAACCAGUUCUGUCUACCCAGCCAAGGUAUAUUCUUCUUAUGUGGAACGUCGACCUAUAUCUGCCUCCCCACUAACUGGACAGGCACCUGCACCUUAGUCUUUCUAAGUCCCAACAUUAACAUUGCCCCAGGAAAUCAGACCCUAUCAGUACCCCUCAAAGCUCAAGUCCAUCAGCACAGAGCCAUAUGACUGAUACCCCUACUUAUAGGGUUAGGAAUGGCUACUGCUACAGGAACCAGAAUAGCCAAUUUAUCUCCUUCAUUAUCCUACUACCACACACUCUCAAAGGAUUUCUCAGACAGUUUGCAUGAAAUAACGAAAUCUAUCCUUACUCUACAAUCCCAAAUAAACCCUUUGGCAGCAGUGACUCUCCAAAACUGCCGAGGCCUAGACCCCCUCACUGCUGAGAAAGGAGGACUCUGCACCUUCUUAGGAGAAGAGUAUUGUUUUUACACUAACCAGUCAGGGAUAGUAUGAGAUGCCGCCUGGCAUUUACAGGAAAAGGCUUCUGAAAUCAGACAACACCUUUCAAACUCUUAUACCAACCUCUGGAGUUGGGCAACAUGGCUUCUCCCCUUUCUAGGUCUCUUGGCAGCCAUCUUGCUAUUACUCGCCUUCGGGCUCUGUAUUUUUAACCUCCUUGUCAAAUUUGUUUCCUCUAGAAUCAAGGCCAUGAAGCUACAGAUGGUCUUACAAAUGGAACCCCAAAUGAGCUCAACUAACAACUUCUACUGAGGACCCCUGGACCGACCCACUGGCCCUUUCACUGGUCUAAAGAGUUCCCCUCUGGAGGACACUACAACUGCAGGGCCCCUUCUUUGCCCCUCUCUGGCAGGAAGUAGCUAGAGCGGUCAUCGUCCAAUUCCCAAAAGCAGUUGGUGAGUCCUGUUUAGAGGGGAGAUUGAACCAAUUCCAGACACAGUGCAAUCUCAGCUCACUGCAACCUCUGCCUCCUGGGUUCAAGUGACUCCCCUCCCUCAGCCUCCCAAGUAGCUGGGAUUACAGGCAUGAGCCACCAUGCCUAGCUAAUUUUUUGUAUUUUAGUAGAGACAGGGUUUCACCAUGUUGGCCAAGAUGGUCUUGAUCUCCUGACCUCGUGAUCUGAACACCUUGGCCUCCCAAAGUGCUGGGAUUACAGGCAUGAGCCACUGCACCUAGCCUCCUUUUACUUUUAUAUCUGUUAUAUACUCCACCUGACAGUGUUACUAAUUUUGCUUUUAAACAUGUUGUCUUUUACAAAGGAUCACAUAUUGUAUGAUUUCACUUAUAUGAGAUGGUUAGAAUAGGCAACUUCAUAGACACAAAGUAGAUGAGUG